GAAGAAGAAGCUUACGUCAUUCGACGCGACACUUUCCACGGUCGGAGCUGGUUCAAUGUCAAGAAGAGAGAGAACACAUAUCUCGGAGGAAGCGAAGGUCUUCCUCCAGAAAGCCUAUAAAGAAGGGAUGACCAGGGUGGGAUCUCCACUGGUUGGAGCAGCAUCCCAGGCCACUGGCUUGCCACCGUUUGUCAGUGAU